rnacentral:rRNA from 1 species
UGCCAGCCGCCGCGGUAAUACGAAGGGUGCAAGCGUUGUUCGGAAUUACUGGGCGUAAAGGGCGUGUAGGCGGCUUGUUAAGUUAGAUGUGAAAUCCCGGGGCUCAACCUCGGAACUGCAUUUGAUACUGGCAAGCUAGAAUCCCGGAGGGGAGUGUGGAAUUCCAAGUGUAGAGGUGAAAUUCGUAGAUAUUUGGAAGAACACCGGUGGCGAAGGCGACACUCUGGACGGGUAUUGACGCUGAGGCGCGAAAGCGUGGGGAGCAAACAGGAUUAGAUA